AGCGAACGCUGGCGGCAGGCCUAACACAUGCAAGUCGAACGAAGUCUUCGGACUUAGUGGCGGACGGGUGAGUAACACGUGGGAACGUGCCUUUAGGUUCGGAAUAACUCAGGGAAACUUGUGCUAAUACCGAAUGUGCCCUUCGGGGGAAAGAUUUAUCGCCUUUAGAGGGGCCUGCGUCUGAUUAGCUAGUUGGUGAGGUAAAGGCUCACCAAUGCGACGAUCGGUAGCUGGUCUGAGAGGAUGAUCAGCCACAUUGGGACUGAGACACGGCCCAAAAUCCUACGGGAGGCGGCAGUGGGGAAUCUUGCGCAAUCGGCGAAAGCCUGACGCAGCCAUGCCGCGUGAAUGAUGAAGGUCUUAGGAUUGUAAAAUUCUUUCACCGGGGACGAUAAUGACGGUACCCGGAGAAGAAGCCCCGGCUAACUUCGUGCCAGCCGCCGCCGUAAAAC
rnacentral:rRNA from 1 species